UACGAGGGGGCAAAUGUUGUUCGGAAUCACUGGGCGUAAAGGGAGCGUAGGCGGGUUCUUAAGUAAGGUGUUUAAUCCCGGGGCCCAACCCCGGACCGGCACUUUAAACUGGGAAUCUUGAAUAGUGGAGAGGUCGGUGGAAUUGGGGGUGUAGCGGUGGAAUGCGUAGAGAUCGGGAAGAACACCCGUGGCGAAGGCGGCCGGCUGGGCCGGAUCCGACGCUGAGGCGCGAAAGCGUGGGGAGCAAACAGG
rnacentral:rRNA from 1 species